CUUAGGCAGCGUCUCCCUGAGGUCCCUCUCUAUCUCCCCUCACAUCCACCAAGCACUGGAACACAUCUCCAAAGUUCUGCUGGGCCAGCUCAGCUUCCCCUCAGAAGAAGUUCCACCACAUGAAGGAGUCUUUUGAGAGGCAGCUGGCAUCGUGAUUGGACUGUACUUUGGUCUGUUCCAAUCCAGCUUCAGCUCCAGAGACGGCAGGCGGGACGAGUCAACGGAGGCCGGGUGGACGAAGGCAUGCAGCUGAGUACAAUCCAGAAAACAACAGAGGAGGAGUGCAGGACCAGAACAAACAGAGUAGCAUCGUAUGUCUCUUAGAAAACAUCAUAGUAUAGCCUUUGGUAUGAAAAAACGCCAUCAUAUACAUCAUAUAUUGUACAAAUAACAAGUCAAAG
ensembl:lncRNA